rnacentral:rRNA from 1 species
UACGAAGGGGGCUAGCGUUGCUCGGAAUUACUGGGCGUAAAGCGCACGUAGGCGGACCGAUAAGUCGGGGGUGAAAUCCUGGAGCUCAACUCCAGAACUGCCUCCGAAACUGCCGGCCUUGAGUUCGGGAGAGGUGAGUGGAACUGCGAGUGUAGAGGUGAAAUUCGUAGAUAUUGGGAAGAACACCGAUGGCGAAGGCAGCCAUCUGGACCGACACUGACGCUGAGGCGCGAAAGCGUGGGGAGCAAACAGG